rnacentral:rRNA from 1 species
UACAGAGGGUGCGAGCGUUGUUCGGAAUUAUUGGGCGUAAAGGGCGCGUAGGCGGCCAACUAAGUCAGACGUGAAAUCCCUCGGCUCAACCGGGGAACUGCGUCUGAUACUGGAUGGCUUGAAUUCGGGAGAGGGAUGCGGAAUUCCAGGUGUAGCGGUGAAAUGCGUAGAUAUCUGGAGGAACACCGGUGGCGAAGGCGGCAUCCUGGACCGAGAUUGACGCUGAUGCGCGAAAGCCAGGGGAGCAAACGGG